UGAAAGUGUAGGCUAUCUGAGCAAGAACCAUCAGAAUGUGAGGCUUGAAACGCAGGAAGAAAAGAACAAGUGAGGAUUGAUUUGAUUCUUGUUGCAUGUUGUUUUUUGGUAUCAUGUUCCAUGUUAUGGGCCCGAGACCUGACAGUUUCCCAACAUGAUGUCAGAAUCGAGUCGAAGAAUGGGGAAUCGAAAAUAUGCUGUUGCGUUAAUAUAUAUACGUGCACGAUUUAUAGAUCACAAGUAUUUUUGCAAAAAAAAAAAAAAAAAAAAAAAAACUGAAGUCUGGUAGAAGUUGCUAAUUUUGGGCAUUGUCUUUUAAUAAAGUUCUUCUGUUGUUUGCUUUCA